CCUACGGGAGGCAGCAGUGGGGGAUAUUGCACAAUGGGGGGAAGCCUGAUGCAGCGACGCCGCGUGGGUGAAGGAGUGCUUCGGCAUGUAAAGCCCUAUCGCCAGGGAAGAAGCAAGACGGUACCUGACUAAGAAGCCCCGGCUAACUACGUGCCAGCAGACGCGGUAAUACGUAGGGGGCGAGCGUUAGCCGGAUGCACUGGGUGUAAGGGGUGCGUGGACGGCCAGGCAAGCCAGGGGUGAAAGCCCGGGGCCCAACCCCGGGACUGCCCUUGCAACGGCAUGGCUGGAGUGCGGGAGGGGCAGGCGGAAUUCCUGGUGUAGCGGUGAAAUGCGUAGAUAUCAGGAGGAACACCGGCGGCGAAGGCGGGCUGCUGGACCGCGACUGACGUUGAGGCUCGAAAGCGUGGGGAGCGAACAGGAUUAGAUACCCCUGUAGUC
rnacentral:rRNA from 1 species